UACGAAGGGGGCUAGCGUUGCUCGGAAUCACUGGGCAUAAAGGGUGCGUAGGCGGGUCUUUAAGUCAGGGGUGAAAUCCUGGAGCUCAACUCCAGAACUGCCUUUGAUACUGAAGAUCUUGAGUUCGGGAGAGGUGAGUGGAACUGCGAGUGUAGAGGUGAAAUUCGUAGAUAUUCGCAAGAACACCAGUGGCGAAGGCGGCUCACUGGCCCGAUACUGACGCUGAUGCACGAAAGCGUGGGGAGCAAACAGG
rnacentral:rRNA from 1 species